UACGCAGGGUGCGAGCGUUAAUCGGAAUUACUGGGCGUAAAGCGUGCGCAGGCGGCGCGUUAAGACAGGUGUGAAAGCCCCGAGCUUAACUUGGGAAUUGCGCUUGUGACUGGCGUGCUGGAGUGUGGCAGAGGGAGGUGGAAUUCCACGUGUAGCAGUGAAAUGCGUAGAUAUCAGGAGGAACACCAGUGGCGAAGGCGAGUCUCUGGACAUUUCCUGACGCUGAGGCACGAAAGCCAGGGGAGCAAACGGG
rnacentral:rRNA from 1 species